UAUUUCACACUCCAGACAGCUCAAGAACCCUCCCUGGGAGUUCCGAUUCCUCGCUCCGAUCGGCAGAGCCGGUGCCGGCCCCCCGGGGAUUUAAACCUGGCCUGUCUCCCGUGCAAAGUGGGGAAGAAACUGCACCAGGCAGCCUGUGAUCUUGCAAUAUUGCUCCGAUUUAUUUUUUUUUAACCUCACCCCAGCCGGGGCGGCGGGGGAGGGAAAAGCGGGGGGCACUUUUCAGCAAGAGAAACAUUUCGAUCCCUAUAAAUAAAGAUCCAUUUACGGGGGGUGGGGGGAACGGUAGCGGAGGACCGGCGGCGGGGGGGGGGGCGAUCUUGCAAUAAAUAAAUAAUUAAAGGAACCUGCUGCUGCUGGGGUUUGCCUCCUGCCGGGGAAGGGAGGCGGGUUUGAAGCGCUCCCGCAUGUCUGGAGGGGGGCGAGCUUGUCUCAGACAGGUGAUGGGCGUUUCGGCUGCGCUCCGGAUUGACUCCUUGGGUUUCACUUUGGUCUGAUCUAAGCAAAUAUGCAGAAGUACCGGCUGGUCUAGUCCUAAAGCCAAGAGGAGCGGGCGAGAGAGCAGCAGAAGCGGAGCUCCUCUAGCCAAGGGAACAUACAAAUCCCCCAAGCAAGCCCCCCCACACCUCAACGUGGACGAAGAGCCCCGAGCCUCACGCCUCACCCGUGUCUUUCCCCGAGGGAUGGUACUGAAUCCCCCAGCCACAGGAGCCGGGCUGGAGCUCCGACACAGCACCCUUACCUUUGAUUCGUGCCCCAAGUGUGUUAGAACGCGAUGAGGACCUGGGCUUGCAUUUUGCUGAUAGGUUUUUGCUACCUUCCCUUUGCGUUUCCUGAGGAAGCUGAAAUCCCCCAGGAGCUAAUCGAGAGACUGGCUCACAGCGAAAUCCACAGCAUCCGUGAUUUGCAGCGCCUCCUGGAGAUUGAUUCCGUAGGAUAUGAUGAUGUUUCAGAAACAAACUUGAGAUCUCAUAGUGUUCAUUCUGCUAAACAUGUUCAAGAGAAUCACCCUGUACCCAUUCGCAGGAAAAGAAGCAUUGAGGAAGCCAUUCCUGCUGUCUGCAAAACAAGAACUGUUAUAUACGAGAUACCGCGGAGUCAGAUUGAUCCCACGUCCGCUAAUUUCCUGAUAUGGCCACCGUGUGUGGAGGUGAAACGUUGUACUGGCUGUUGCAACACCAGCAGCGUGAAAUGCCAGCCAUCACGGAUACAUCACAGAAGUGUCAAGGUGGCAAAAGUGGAGUAUGUUAGAAAAAAGCCAAAAUUAAAAGAAGUUCUGGUGAGGUUAGAAGAGCAUAUGGAAUGCACCUGCACACCAUCAAAUUCUAAUUCAGAUUAUCGAGAAGAGGAGACUGGAAGGCCUAGGGAAACAGGUAAAAAACGGAAACGAAAAAGGUUAAAACCAACAUAAAAACUACUGGAACUAUUUGCUUAUCAGAUUAACAGGUAUUUAUUGGGAGUAGUAUGAUAGAAGCAAAGAUUUUGUAAAAUUCAACUUUAAAAGUCAGCAUGUAAACUCAAUCAAAACAGCAUUUAGAACUUCUUGUCCCAGAUGUAAGGUGAAAUAAGCUAGAAAAAAAAAGAACUUCUCUCUGGGACAUGGAUGUACAUGGUUUGUUACAUUCCUGAACCUACUAUGUAUGGUGCUUUAUUGACUGUAUACUUUAUUUGUUCUCCUAUGUGAAAAAAACUGGCUGAAAAGAACACUUAAUGAGAACAAAGAGACAAUGUACAUUUGUUUAAUGUGACAUCAAAGCAAGUAUUGUAGCACUCUGUGAAACAAUAGGAAGCUUCCCUGUCCAAAAAACCCACGAAACAACAAAACAAACAAAGAAAAUAAAAAGACAGUUGAAUGAAUGGAGGAUACCAAAAGUACAAAACAAAAAACAAAAAUAAAAGAAGAAGAAGAAGAAGAAGACAAAAAUCUUAAGUGAAUAGUGGAUUUCUGUCAGAGCAGUCAACGGUGCUUUAUGUCAAGAAAUGUGCCUGCGUUCUUGAUGAAGAUGGAUGGACACAAAUAGACGUCAGGCACAAAAAAGCAGGAAUGUAUCAAAUGCCAUGCAAACACUAUAGAAACAGUACAUCCUUGCUUGGUGGUGUUUUAAAGUCUAUACAAAAAAAGAAUACCUUCUGGGGAGCCUUAAAUGGAUUUUUUUUUACACCAUAAAGUGAUUAUUAAGCUUUCUUUUUACUCUUUGCCUAGCUUUUUAUUAUCUCUUGGACUACAUUUAUCAAUAACACAUAUAGAAGACUGGUGUAACAGUAAGCAGAACACAAACAUUAUGAUAUUUCUCCUAGUGGGAUGCAAACUAAUGAGAUAUAUUAAAAUAAAAAUGGUAUACCUAUGCAUAAUUUUCUAGACGUUUCUUGGUUUAUGUCUCCCAACCUCCCCCGUAAUUUAAAGCAUUUAAAAAAACCUGAUGUGUGUAAACAAAUCAUAGGAUAUCCAUGCAAAUAUCCUUUUUUUCUUUGAGACUGAUGCCAGUUGCCUAAUAGUGAUAUUGUGUUAGCAAUUGCCAUUCUUAUCAGUAUACAAAUACUUUUAUUUCACAUGUUGGCGCUGUGUGAAAUGUACAAAUUCUUGUAUCCGCAUUGUACAAUGUUAUUGUGGCAUGGGAAAUACCUUGCUGCAAAUAGUUGAACAAAACCUAAAAUUCUUUAUUUUUGGUAAAAUGUUAUGCUUUAUGUGUAUUCAACAGAAAUAUGUGUUUUGUAAAGGUGAAGUUUGUAUUUUUAUCUAAAAUUAACAGUUUUAUAUACCUAAGAAAGCCUGCUAUGUUUUCUUGAACAAAAAAAAAAAAAAAAGAAAAGAAAAGAAAAGAAAAAAAAAAGCAUUUUGUGGUCAUAUUUUUGUAGUUGAGUAGCCCAAAUAACUUCAAAAUAUAUUUUAACUAUAGCAGGGCAGAUAAAAUACUCAGGCACCAAAUCCUACAUUUUCAAAGUGCCAAGGAAUUUAAUUGUUCAGUUCUUCCAUGGACUGUAAUGGGAGCCACAUGGCUAAUUUUUGUCUGCUGCUUUGGAAAUAUAGGCCUGUGCCAUAUAUAUCAUGGCUACCCUGUUAGCCAAAAUAACUGCCCCACCCUGGUUGGUUUAGAUGAUAUGCCCCUUGUGUUACAGUAUUUUGAUUAUCACAUUGGACAUGUAAAAUAAACUACUGGGUUCUUUUCUUUAUGAAACAUCUCCAAUAAGAUGAAAGAUUUCUCUCUCCUUUGUACAUAAUGACAAGAGAGCUAGUCUUGAGGAUAAUGUGUCCACCCUGCAUUAAAAGACUUAAAUGUGAAUGAACUGCAGAGCUUUAAGAUGUAACAAAAAAAGAGACAUUUUGUUAACACAUCGCCCCACUUACUAGAGCUAUGUCCAAUUUCAACCAAGCAAAGCAAUUUUAACGAACAGGCAUUGGUUUCAACUGCUAAUGCAGGGAUAGAAUUAAUCACUGUCCUGUUUUGCGAUCAUCUUCCCAGUGUAUUACAUUGAGCACCAAAACUGGAAAUACAUUUACUAAAACUGUCUGUGCUUGUUCUUCACUAAGUGUACUGUUCACAAUGUUAUGCCCAUGAAUGUAUGUGUCUGCGUUUAAAAGAAAAGUGUAUAAAAUGUAAUUUAUAUAUUUAUGUUUCGGUGGGAUACCAAUAGUGUUGAUCAGUUUUUUGGUUUUCUUUUUCUUUUGGGGGUGGUUAUCUAAAAUAUCUAAUGAAAAAAGAAUUCAUAUAUAUCUAUUAAAUUUAUGUAGAUGAAAAAUGUUAUGUGACCCACUAAGACAUUGUGCAGGUUUGAAAGGAUGCCAAAGUCACUUAAGUGGAAUACUGAAUGAGCAAAUUUUUCAACUAAGGUUGCACUGGCAAUAUAGGGAUUAAUUUAAAUCACUCACCUGGGCCAGAUCUUCAGAUAGUUUAAUCUGGUGUAGCCCCAUCGAUUAUAAUGGUGCGGUGUGUGUACACCACCUGAGUAUAUUUAAUC